UACGUAGGGGGCUAGCGUUGUCCGGAUUUAUUGGGCGUAAAGAGCGUGUAGGCGGCCAGGUAUGUCUGCUGUGAAAACUCGAGGCUUAACCUCGAGAUGUCGGUGGAAACCAUCUGGCUAGAGUCCGGAAGAGGAGAGUGGAAUUCCUGGUGUAGCAGUGAAAUGCGCAGAUAUCAGGAGGAACACCAAUAGCGAAGGCAGCGCGCUGGGACGGUACUGACGCUGAGGCGCGAAAGCGUGGGGAGCGAACAGG
rnacentral:rRNA from 1 species